CCAGACUCCUACGGGAGGCAGCAGUCGGGAAUAUUGCGCAAUGGAGGAAACCCUGAUGCAGCGACGCCGCGUGAGUGAAGAAGCAUUUCGGUAUGUAAAGCUCUAUCAGCAGGGAAGAAAAUGACAGUACCUGACCAAGAAGCCCCGGCUAACUACGUGCCAGCAGCCGCGGUAAUACGUAGGGGGCAAGCGUUAUCCGGAUUUACUGGGUGUAAAGGGAGCGUAGACGGUUAUGUAAGUCUGGAGUGAAAGCCCGGGGCCCAACCCCGGGACUGCUUUGGAAACUGUGUAACUGGAGUACAGGAGGGGCAGGCGGAAUUCCUGGUGUAGCGGUGAAAUGCGUAGAUAUCAGGAGGAACACCGGCGGCGAAGGCGGCUUACUGGACUGUAACUGACGUUGAGGCUCGAAAGCGUGGGGAGCAAACAGGAUUAGAUACCCCUGUAU
rnacentral:rRNA from 1 species